GGCGUCCCCUUCGGGGGACAGGGUGACAGGUGGUGCAUGGUUGUCGUCAGCUCGUGUCGUGAGAUGUUGGGUUAAGUCCCGCAACGAGCGCAACCCUCGACCUUAGUUGCCAGCAUUCAGUUGGGCACUCUAAGGUGACUGCCGGCUAAAAGUCGGAGGAAGGUGGGGAUGACGUCAAAUCAUCAUGCCCCUUAUGACCUGGGCUACACACGUGCUACAAUGGGCGGUACAAAGGGUCGCGAACCCGCGAGGGGAGCCAAUCCCAAAAAGCCGCUCUCAGUUCGGAUUGCAGGCCGCAACUCGCCUGCAUGAAGCCGGAAUCGCUAGUAAUCGCGGAUCAGCAUGCCGCGGUGAAUACGUUCCCGGGCCUU
rnacentral:rRNA from 1 species